CUCUGUGUGGGCUGAGUAACUUCACAUCCAGUAUACACACUCAUUUGCUCGUGUAUGUAACAAUUCUGCAACAGCCAUCCCACAAUGCCUCAUGCCAGCCUCUUGGCCGGGGGUUUCAGCUAUGCUGGCUGAGGCUGAGCAUAAGCUUCCAUUAGAACACUUCACUGAAAAGUGCAUUUCUGCCAGUUCAGGUUUUAAAGAGGAACAAACGCUACAGUCCCAUUAUAUUGGUAGAUCAAGUAGCUGUGAGGAAAGAGUGACCAGGCCACAUACUGGGAAGCUCUGUGAAAGAAAUGCUUACAGUCCGUUAUUCAAGGACUUCCAGGUGGAAUGGGCAGGAUGAGAGGCAGUGCCACUACGGAUACUGGAGUGACUCCAUGGAACAAGAAGUAUUUCAGUAAAUGCUGGACUUAGUGAAGCCUGGUUUCUUGUAUGCACUGGUUGAGUAGCUGUUUAACUGAAUCAUGCUGAGCAUUCAGCUCAGCCAUUAUCAGACACCAGAAAAUGAGAGAAAAAUACUGGAAAUGUAUUUGCUGUGGGAAAAGAUUCAGUUGAACCUUGUAUUGUCUGAGAUGCUGGAAAACCUAACAGGAGAAUCCUUGGCUCACAAAUACUUGGAUAAAGAGAGUGUGAUCUUUUGUAAGCUUUUUCUCCUCAAGAAGUCAGGCAAAAAAAUCUGGAGCAACUGUUGAGACUGGCUCCUUCUGUAGGGAGCCUCAUGUCAUUCUUUCAAGGAGGGCAAACACUGCGCCAUUGCAACUACGCAAGAUAGGUGUUUCUAAGCUCCAUAGAGAACAGGUGAAAGAAAAGGAAAAGAACCUCCUAACAAGGAAGGGGAAGGUCUAGGUAGAUGUAAUUCACAUGUUAAGUUAUUUAAGCUCUACCAAAAGAGGCAGAGUUGAUUUUGCAAACAAAGUGAAGAUAAGUCUGGUAGAUGGCAUUUUCCUUCCUCAUGCAGCAUAUUCCUUUUGUACUUUACCUUCUACCAAACCAGGUUUGAAAAUAACUCUCUGCAUUGCUCAUGCAUAUACAACAAAUAAUAUAGGGGUGGAAGUGCUGUUUAUUUUGCAGACACUCUGGGAUUCUCUUUUUUUUUUUUUUUUAAGCUUUCGAUUAAUUCAGGUUCACAGAAGAAUUGUCACAUCAUGGAGCAAAAGAAGCAGGCAAACAUUACCCUACCAAGACUGCAGUUACCUGCCUGAUUAAUCAUGAAGUUACCAUCCUGUCUAUAAACUCAACUUAAUGACCUUACUCAGCAAAGAAUUUGAACAAGACACAGAGGUCUGCAGUGAACGCUGCAUGCUUAUGGAGCAAGAACCAGGCAUAAGUCUAAGACAAACUAUGGUGACUGCAGCACUGCCAUGCAUUAUGCCAUUUUAAAUAACACAAUAGUUUGACUGCUUCUGGAGAUGCUGUGCUCUGAGCUAGCAGUGAAUCUCUGUAGGCACAGACAUAACAGAAGAGCAACUCUAUUCUCUUGUGCCUUUUUAGUCCUGUGUUUCAAACUAGUGAAUGAGACCAUUUAAGGAAGUCUAAGCAAAGUUUCAGACCAAGACAGGUCAUUUUCAAGACCUUACAGGCAACUGGUAGCAGGAGAGUAUGCAAUCCUCACAUCUCCAAAUCAGCUUUCUAAAUGGAACUUCUGAAACUCUAAAUGUUAGAUACCAAAGCCUCUAAAAUAAUUUUUGUGUUCCUGUGGGGUAAAACAUACUGUGUAAAUAAAAAUGUCAUUUAAAAGAAAUUGGUUUCUUUGUAGAUCCUUAUUACACUCACACACCUCACAGUUUAAUUUCAAAGAAACCCCUCUAAGCUAAUUUUUGAGAAUGUAUGUUUAUCUUUACUUUUUGGCUUUAAAAAACAUUCUCUUAAUCCAAAGUAGUAAAAAUGAGUUACUGAAACUGCAGCUUCUCAUCAGGUGUUUACUAAUGCAAACAUAAAUAAUCCAUUCUCACAACACCUUACAAUUCUGUUCUUGUAGAAAAACUGUAAAUUAUUUCUCACUGUUUUGUGCAUUGACUAGUACUUGACAGCACUAAAAACGUAUUUCAGUGAAUGCCCAGUUUAAAGAACUUGGAGAACUCAUCUCAUGUGAAAGAAAUACACUGUUUCCUUAUCUUGAGAGUUCAUUUAAUCUUUUCAAAAAGGAAAACAAAAAUAAUGAAUUAUUAUUUUAUUUUCUGUUCUACCAUGUGGGAAACUUGCCUGAAAUUGGGUAACUCUGUUGUGUUUAGUGGCACAUAAGCACCAUCUUCUGGAAAAAAACUAGUAUUUCUCAGUGAUUAUAGGCAUAGAGGACAUCCGAUUUGCUUACUACUGAAAGUCUGCAUUUGAAUUUAUUACUCUGUGAUAUUGUCAGGUUUUAUACUUCAGCAAGAUGAAUAGCUUAAAUACCUCAAUAUUAUUAAUCAUAGUUUAGUAACUAUUGGCUAAUUACCUUAACUCACAAAGUAAUAAUAGCACUAUUUUAAUGCCAGUAAGCCUCAUUAAUAGACCAGGAGUCCUCUGCAUGAAUUUUUGUUAAAAAUCUAACAAUAUAAAACAAGUGACAGUAGUCACUAUCACACAAGAGGACAUUGAGAUACUGUUGGUCUGUAUGAUGAGCAAAGUACAAACUGAAUUACCAUGUUUUUUUAGAUAGCCUAGUGAAGACUGGUUUAGAGUGUGAUUUAUAAGCAUCAGGGAUAUUUCAGGAGAAGGUAGUUGAUGGAAUACUGAAGCAGUAUCUCAGUAAAAACAGGAAAGCUUAGAUAGAGCUGUGGGCCCAAAAGAGUCUUGGAGAAGGAUAAAGAGUACAAUGGCUUGUAUUUUCUAGAGAAGAAGAAAAAAUGUCAAUGAAAAACUGCCCAGAAGAUUGUUUCUGGUUCAAAAUAACAAGCUGAAAAAAGUUUUCUUCUUCAUACAUAUGAGCAGGACAACAUAUCAUCUGUCAAAGAUCCUCUCAUGAAAGAAUUUAGAUAAAUUGAAGCAAUGGAAUAAAAAGCUUUUAAAAAGUGUUGAAAUAAAAUCAAACUCCUGAAAAAACAAAAUAGAAAAAAAUGCACCUAACAGUUACACAUAAAGAAGACAUUUAGAAAACAAGUAUGCAUAUGUAUCUCUAAACUUUCUACAUAUGUGAAUUUCUCUGGUUACAAGAAAC